rnacentral:rRNA from 1 species
GCGAGCGUUGUCCGGAAUUAUUGGGCGUAAAGAGCUCGUAGGCGGCCUGUUGGGUCCGCUGUGAAAGCCCGGGGCUUAACCCCGGGUCGGCAGUGGAUACGGGCAGGCUAGAGGUAGGUAGGGGAGAAUGGAAUUCCCGGUGUAGCGGUGAAAUGCGCAGAUAUCGGGAGGAACACCGGUGGCGAAGGCGGUUCUCUGGGCCUUACCUGACGCUGAGGAGCGAAAGCGUGGGGAGCGAACAGG